rnacentral:rRNA from 1 species
GUGCCAGCCGCCGCGGUAAUACGUAGGGGGCAAGCGUUGUCCGGAAUCAUUGGGCGUAAAGAGCGUGUAGGCGGCUUGGUAAGUCCGCUGUGAAAGUCCAGGGCUCAACCCUGGAAAGCCAGUGGAAACUGCCAAGCUAGAGUCCGGAAGAGGCGAGUGGAACUCCUGGUGUAGCGGUGAAAUGCGCAGAUAUCAGGAAGAACACCAAUGGCGAAGGCAGCUCGCUGGGACGCGACUGACGCUGAGACGCGAAAGCGUGGGGAGCAAACAGGAUUAGAUACCCUGGUAGUCC